rnacentral:lncRNA from 1 species
AGGAUUCCAAAUGAAUGAGAAGUUAGUUAGAAACAAACUGUGCUCUUCCCAUCUGUUAGAUUUUACUAAUGUUAGAUUUUAAUAUUCUACAUGUUGGCAAGAAUAAGUGAGUCACAUUUUUUAAUUUAAAUUCUCCCUAGAUGUUUUCUGAUUUCGUUGAGCAGUGGUUUGUAGUUCUCCUUGUAGAGGUCUCUUACGUUCCUUGUGAGUUGUAUUCCAAGGUAUUUUAUUCUUUUUGUAGCAAUUGCGAAUGGCAGUUCGCUCUUGAUUUGGCUUUCUUUAAGUCUGUUGUUGGUGUAGACGAAUGCUUGUGAUUUUUGCACAUUGAUUUUAUAUCCUGAGACUUUGAUGAAGUUGCUUAUCAGUUUCAGGAGUUUUUGGGCUGAGGCAAUGGGGUCUUCUAGGUAUACUAUCAUGUCGUCUGCAAAUAGAGACAAUUUGGCUUCCACCUUUCCUAUUUGAAUACCCUUUAUUUCUUUUUCUUGCCUGAUUGCUCUGGCUAGAACUUCCAGUACUAUGUUGAAUAGGAGUGGUGAGAGAGGGCAUCCUUGUCUAGUGCCAGAUUUUAAAGGGAAUGCUUCCAGUUUUUGCCCAUUCAGUAUGAUAUUGGCUGUUGGUUUGUCAUAAAUAGCUUUUAUUACUUUGAGAUACAUUCCAUCGAUACCGAGUUUAUUGAGGGUUUUUAGCAUAAAGGGCUGUUGAAUUUUGUCAAAUGCCUUCUCUGCGUCAAUUGAGAUAAUCAUGUGGUUUUUGUUUUUGGUUCUGUUUAUGUGGUGAAUUACGUUGAUAGACUUGUGUAUGUUGAACCAGCCUUGCAUCCCCGGGAUGAAUCCUACUUGAUCAAGAUGAAUAAGUUUUUUGAUUUGCUGUUGCAAUCGGCUUGCCAAUAUUUUAUUGAAGAUUUUUGCAUCUAUGUUCAUCAUGGAUAUUGGCCUGAAGUUUUCUUUUCUCGUUGGGUCUCUGCCGGGUUUUGGUAUCAGGAUGAUGUUGGUCUCAUAAAAUGAUUUGGGAAGGAUUCCCUCUUUUUGGAUUGUUUGAAAUAGUUUUAGAAGGAAUGGUACCAGCUCCUCCUUGUGUGUCUGGUAGAAUUCGGCUGUGAACCCGUCUGGACCUGGGCUUUUUUUGUGUGGUAGGCUGUUAAUUGCUGCCUCAACUUCAGAACUUGUUAUUGGUCUAUUCAUAGUUUCAGCUUCCUCCUGGUUUAGGCUUGGGAGGACACAGGAGUUCAGGAAUUUAUCCAUUUCUUCCAGGUUUACUAGUUUAUGCGCAUAUAGUUGUUUGUAAUAUUCUCUGAUGAUGGUUUGCAUUUCUGUGGAAUCUGUGGUGAUUUCCCCUUAAUCAUUUUUUAUUGCAUCUAUUUGGUUGUUCUCUCUUUUCUUUUUAAUCAAUCUGGCUAGUGGUCUGUCUAUUUUGUUGAUCUUUUCAAAAAACCAGCUCUUGGAUUUAUUGAUUUUUUGAAGGGUUUUUCGUGUCUCAAUCUCCUUCAGCUCAGCUCUGAUCUUAGUUAUUUCUUGUCUUCUGCUGGGUUUUGAGUUUUUUGAUCUUGCUCCUCUAGCUCUUUCAAUUUUGACGAUAGGGUGUCAAUUUUGGAUCUCUCCAUUCUCCUCAUAUGGGCACUUAUUGCUAUAUACUUUCCUCUAGAGACUGCUUUAAAUGUGUCCCAGAGGUUCUGGCACGUUGUGUCUUCGUUCUCAUUGGUUUCGAAGAACUUCUUUAUUUCUGCCUUCAUUUCGUUGUUUACCCAGUCAACAUUCAAGAGCCAGUUGUUCAGUUUCCAUGAAGCUGUGCGGUUCUGGGUCAGUUUCUGAAUUCUGAGUUCUAACUUGAUUGCACUAUGGUCUGAGAGGCUGUUUGUUAUGAUUUCAGUUGUUUUGCAUUUGUUGAGCAGUGCUUUACUUCCAAUUAUGUGGUCAAUUUUAGAGUAGGUGUGAUGUGGUGCUGAGAAGAAUGUGUAUUCUGUGGAUU